rnacentral:rRNA from 1 species
UACGUAGGUGGCAAGCGUUGUCCGGAAUUAUUGGGCGUAAAGCGCGCGCAGGCGGUCCUUUAAGUCUGAUGUGAAAGCCCACGGCUCAACCUUGGAGGGUCAUUGGAAACUGGGGGACUUGAGUACAGAAGAGGAAAGCGGAAUUCCACGUGUAGCGGUGAAAUGCGUAGAGAUGUGGAGGAACACCAGUGGCGAAGGCGGCUUUCUGGUCUGUAACUGACGCUGAGGCGCGAAAGCGUGGGGAGCAAACAGG